AUGCCAUGAUGUGGACAUUUUCAUAACAACUCCUUGAACCGCCUGAAAGCUUCAUGAAAUGUCUCCCCUGAAUGCUGUUGAAAAGCUCUGAUUGCUUCCCGAGCUU
rfam:Helianthus annuus linkage group 2, whole genome shotgun sequence.